GGAGGGAUGGCCGAGCGGUUGAAGGCGCCGGUCUUGAAAACCGGAACGGGGCGACCUCGUUCGUGGGUUCGAAUCCCUCCCUCCGCCA
rnacentral:tRNA from 1 species